GAGAGCCUAUUUCCGCCACAUAGAAUGUCAAGACGAAUGCAGAAAUCUCUCUAUCAGGUUUUUUGUCAAGUUGGACAGAGUGUGCCAAGAGUUCACUGUAGUGGGAGUAAAGGAUGAAAAAAGUGGUGUUUACAUCACCGACU
rnacentral:lncRNA from 1 species